UUGUGACACAUAUGAACCUGGAGCUCUGAUCCAACUUGUCACGGCCCAAAUCUCCCUCUGUAAGACUUCGUGACGACACCUAGUCUUUAUAACUAGGUAAAACUAUUAAUUUGUGGAAUAACGAAAAUAAAAGAAUAAUUUAAUAACUAACUUCAUUUCAUAACUACAAAACUAAUAAAAUGUCGCUCGACAUGUAUAAGUAAACCAACACUCAAGCAUAACAACAUUCCCAAAAUCUGGUAGUCACAAUUCACAAGCUUCUAGGAAAUAACAAAGUGCCUCUAUACAUCAGAGUCUAAGGAAAAUAUAGAAAGAAACAACAUAGGAGGCAAUAGAGGGGGACUCCGAGGUCUGUGGACGCUGGAAGAUAUACCUUGAAGUCUAUGUAACAACAGCAAGUACUCUCAGCUAAUAGCAGGGUUGGUAGGAGGUACCUGGGUCUACACAAAAAACAUGUGCAGAAGAGUAACAUGAAUACACCACGACGAUAUCCAGUAAGUGUCAAGCCUAACCUUGGUAGAGUAAUGACGAGGUCAGGUCAAGGCCUUACUGGUAUAUAAUAAGUAAGACAAAAGAUAUAAUAUUGUGAAAAGAUUGAGAAUAUAACAAGGAGAGUUCUGUAGAAAUAACAUGCAACACAUAGUGAUAAACAACAGGGGCGCUCCCGAGAUACCAUCUCCUUGUCCCAAAAGUAAAUACUCAGUAGGAGAUCUCCCGAGAUACCGUAUCGUAGCCCCAAAAGUAAAUAUGCAAGGAGAUCUCCCGAGGUACCACCUGGUUGUCUCUAAGGUAAAUGUGUAGGGAGAUCUUUCGAGGUACCGCCUCGUAGUCCCAAAGUAAACACACAGCUCAAAAAGCCGAUGGAAACAGCAAUUAACAGCAAGAACUCUACAGUUAAGACUGAUACGAAUCAAGGAAAAAUAGGAAUUCAACUAAGCAUGCUGCACAUAUUUCAAAUAAGCAUUUAAGACACAUAGACAUGUGAUAUUAGGAUAACAAGAUAAUUGCACAUGCUAGUAUAACUCAAUUAAGAUGUAAUAGGUUAAUGCUCCCUGAAAAAAUCGGAUAUUACAACAAUUAUCUCGUUACACACUCAUCACCUCGUGUACACGGCCCUCACAUAUAACAUAACUAUCAUAACAAUACCAAAUCCUAAGGGAAUUUCCCCCACACAAGGUUAGGCAAGCCACUUACCAUGAACCAAGCUCAAUCAAUCAGUAAGAAUGCCUUUUCCAUGAUUUUCCGACUCUGAAUGGCCCAAAUAUAGCUAAAAGCAAUUAUAUAACAUAAAUAUAACUAUAAGAAACUAAUCUAAUUAAAGAAAUCAAGACUUUAACAAAAAAUUAGAAAAUUGCCCCAAAAAAGUCGACAUGUGCCCAUGUCUCAGAAUCGGGUAAAAGUCACAAAAUACGAACAUCAAUUCACCCACGAGUUCAUUCGCAUCAAAAUUACUCAAAUCCGAUAUUAAGAUCUCAAUCAAAGCCCAAAAAUUUUGUUGAAGAACUUUUCCCACUUUUUCCCAAAUUUCUUAACUCAAAUCUCAAAUUAGAAGGUGGAAUUAAGGAUAGAUUAGCGGGAUAUAACAAAAAACAAUUGAAGAAUCAUUACCCAAUCGAUGCAUCCAAAAUUUCCUCAAAAUUUCAUCCAAAUCUGAGUUCUUUAUCUCAAGUUUUGAUAAAAAUGGCAAAAGUCGCGUUUUUGAAAUGUUUAUGACUGUCCAAUGAUCCCUUCUUCACGUAUACGGAAACAUCCUCGCGUUCACGAAGCAUAAAAAUGCUUCACUCCAAAAUUCUUCAUUGCGAACGUGAUGGCCUAAUCGCGACGUGAAGCUUACUCAGCUUGACCCUACGCGAAUGCGAGACACUCACCGCAAAUGCGUUGGCUAAUUACCUGGGGAUCCAUCUGCCCUUUUCUCUAUGCGAACGCGAGGGCCUAAUCGCGAACGCGUAGGCCGAAGACCAAAGUGCGUCGUGAACGCGGAACAUACUUCGCGAAUGCGAAGGUCAAUUUUCAGUAACACUCAAACUUCCUCUACGCGAACGUAGGAGAACCUUCAUGAACGUGUAGAAGGAAACCAGACACCGGCAAUUCGAAGAACUUCAGUUGCAACACUAAGUCCAAAUUUAUCUGUUAACCUUCCAAAACUCACCCAAGGCCCACCGGGACCUCGACCAAACAUACCAAUAAUUCCUAGAAUAUCAUACGAACUUAGUCGAGCCCUCAAAUCACAUCAAACAAUAACAUAAACACGAAUCACACUCCAAUUCAAACUUUAUGAACUUUGAAAUUUCAAACUUCUACAACCGAUGUCGAAACCUAUCAAAUCACGUCCAAUUGACCUCAAAUUUUGCAUGUAAGUCAUAAUUAACAUUACGGACCUACUCUAACUUCCGAAAUCGGAAUUCGACCUUGAUAUCAAAAAGUCUACUUCAGGUCAAACAUCCCAAAAAUUCAACUUUCGCCAUUUCAAGCUUAAUUCAGCUACAGAACUCCAAUUAACAAUAUGGACACGGUCGUAAGUCCAAAAUUACCCAAUGGAGCUAACGGAACUGACGAAACUCCAUUAUGAAGUUGUCCUCACACAAUUUCUACUAUGGUUAAAAUCCUAGAACUUAAGCCUCCGUUUUAGGGAUUAAGUGUCCGAAAUCACUCCGAAACUAAAACAAAACUUCUCGGCAAGUUACAUAAGCAGAAAAAGAUGCCGGAAAAGUAGUAAAUAGGGGAUAGAGGCUAACUCUCAAAACGACCGGACGGGUCGUCACAUUGGGGAAGGGCAAGAUUUUUUAGCCUAAAGGAUCACCUCGUGCAAUAUAAAGAAUACUUCAAUAUCUGAAGUGCAAUGGUUGCUCAUAUUAUCCAGCGAGCACAGACUAUCAUCUCCAGCUACCAGAUUACUAUCUUUAAGUUAUUUAUCUAAAGUGCACUAAUUCAAUUCUAUGUCAUGCCUAUCCGUCCCAUGCCAAUUGUAUAGGAGGCAUUGGACAACUAUAAAGGGUGGUUCUAGACUCAACCUAAGGCUGCUCAAAAUUAAAACCUAGGUGCCAAAUAGUUUAAAUAAGUAGGACUUCAAAAGGGCACAGUUAAUAUAAAGGGCUCACAGGUUAAUGCACAUAAUAUAAAGGUCUUCAACAAGUUGAUUCACAUAAGUGCCAAUUAUUACUAAUUAAACGGAUUUUGAAGACGUGGUAUAAUUAAAGGAGAAUUGGUCUAUGAUGUGAUUUCUAAUUGUGGGAUUGGACUGGAAAACUUAUGAAUUAUCGAAUUACUUGAUUUGGACCAAAACAUGAUUUUUAGGUGAAGUUGUGAGUGGCCAGUCGUGAUAGUGAACAAGGAAUAUGAACUAAUUAGAUGUUGAGCCUAUAUACAUGAUUUCUACGUGGACAUCAUAGAAAAGAAGAAUUCAUUGUUAGAUGUUAUAGGCAGGAUAUCUAUAUGAUUCGAGUCUUAGAUUGUUAGGUUAUGCAGGGGUCAAGUAAUGCAAUCUUAUAGAAAUGAUUUCUAGGCAUAGGGCAUUAGAAACAUAGUUUUCAAAACAUGGUAGCACAAACAGUUAUGCAAUAUAGCAUAAAAGUCCUAUAGACACGAUUUCUAAGUGUGCGAUCCUAAGACAUGAUUUCUAAGUGUAGUAGCAGACAGUCCAACAAAUUAGCAUAGAGUAGGUCCUAUAGGUAUGAUUUUUAACUUAAAGACUUAAGCAAAUGACAUUCAUACAGUGAAAAAGAUAAGCAAGCAAUUAAUACAUAAGAGACCCUAAAGGCAUGUUAACUAGGUGAUAAUGUUGGUUCAUUAGUCUAUUAGACAAACUUUGUAGGCAGUGCCUCAUUCGUAUUAGUUAAAGUCCUAGGCUCAUGGUUUCUAAGUGAAGCAGGUAAGAGAUAAAUUUCCUAUGGGCAUGAUUUUCUAAUAGCAAGUAGCAUAUAGGAAAUUAAAUAUGAUUUACGAUGACAAGUAGCAGGCAAUGAUGUUUAAACUUAUAGGCAUGUUAUCUACCCAAGAAUUAAGCUAUCUGAGGCCCAAUUCACUAUCUCCCCCACUAUUUUCUUUACAAGUUAUUACAGACCAACAAAAGUAAUUACAGGCCAAUAAAAAAACAAAAAUACAUGGGCCACAAACCCAAUAACAAGACAACUAAAUAUAGUGAACCCAAGUAAUUUGGGCCUUCAUAGUUUUCUGGAACACAAAUGAGGCACAUAAGUUGCACCAUAACUCAGCAGAAGUAAAAAGAGCUCUUAAUUGAAGGUGUUACUCGACUGAUCGCGGAGGUAGGUAUUACAAAACUAUAUGCUUGACAAGUUAAGGAACUAGGGUCGACAAGACAUACAUCUAGAGAUAGACCUUCUAAGUGCUCAUGAUAGUGUAUAUUAUAGAAAAUAACCAAUCAACAUAGUGCAAAGAGGAAGAAUUUCAUGCCAAACAAUACAAGUAAUGAAUUGAACCUUGUAUGCUUCUCGAUUACGCUUGUUAUCGGUUUAGAGAAGAAUACUAAACCAUAAUGAAUCGAUCCUGCCUAAACGAGUAGCUAAAGGUUCAUAAACAGGUUCAUUGUCAACACACACAAAAAAAUGGUUUUCAAGAAGCCUGAAUACACAUACUAACUUCUCCGAUUUCAGGUUCUAUUUGCGAUUAAGAACAUUAUGAGCAAAAGUUAGUAAGUCUAAUGGUCUAACUCAAUAUGGCAAAGAACACAAGUGAGAUAUCUUAAUAAUUAAUAUGAAUCCUCAUCCCUGAUCAACUUCCAAGUAUGAUAACAUGUUAGAACAGACACCACAAAGGACAAACCAAACAACAGUUGGAAUGAUAAUCCUACUUAGUCAAUUAGUUAAACCUAAUUGCAUAGACAAGCAUCAUACAUUCAUGGUUAAACAGACACAUCAACAAUAGCACUUUCAAGAGAUGAGAUAGUAGCAAGAAUUCCCCUAUGAGCAUGCUUUAACCAUAAAAUCAGGACUUAGAACAUAAUUUGUAAGCCAUUCAUGGUAGCUAACAGUAAAUCAUAAGAAUAGAGAUUAAAGAAUCUAACCAAGCAGAGAAGUAACAAAAGCAAUAAACAGAUAUUGAAAGAGCCCCAAAUCGUAUCUCUAGGACCUCGAAUCGGGCUAUUUAUAGUUCACAAUGACCUCUUGGGAUCCCGAGAACUGCUUAUGUCAAGAAAAGGUCUAAAGAAUCAGUACUUGGUGGCCUUGGCUUUUAUCCGACCACAAAUCAACCAAACAAAUAGUAGAACCAAGUAGAAUCAAAAGAACACCGAACAAAGAACAAUAUGUGAGAGUUAUACGUGUGAGAACACGAGUGACCUACCCUCCAUAGGUUGAGUAGUAUGAAAUAUAACCAUAUCUGAGUCCUAGGCACCCAGGAAAGGUAAGAAAAUAUUUGAUUUGCGGGGAAUGAAAGGGAAAGGGCGAAAAGGCUUUGUGGCCGCUAGGGUUCAUCGUGAGAAAGAUAAGAGGCGGCGAGUAAUAGAGGAAAUGGUAUUCGGGUUAGGGGUUUGGCUGGAUAAGAAAAAUGGGGGGCUGUGAGUCGAUGAUCA
rnacentral:lncRNA from 1 species